ACCCCAUGAUAUAAGCCGGCUGCUUGGAUAUAUUUCCAGUCCAAGGAGUGACUAUGAUUGGGAACAUCAUCCUCUGAUGUGUGUAUGUUGGAUGAGCUUAUUCCGCUUAUCUUACAAAGAAAAUUUCAGAAAACA